rnacentral:rRNA from 1 species
CUAUCAGUUUGUUGGUGAGGUAAUGGCCCACCAAGACUAUUACAGGUACGGGCUCUGAGAGGAGUGGCCCGGAGAUGGGUACUGAGACACGGACCCAGGCCCUAUGGGGCGCAGCAGGCGAGAAAACUUUGCAAUGUGCGAAAGCACGACAAGGUUAAUCCGAGUGAUUUCUCAUAAAGAAAUCUUUUGCUAG